AUCCCAUGUUAAAAACAAUUAAAAUUUUGCAAGAUAAAUUUCUAUAUAUUUAAUAAAUAUGACUGUGAAAAAAAUUCAAAAUUUCAUCAUUUUGAGAUUCUUAUAACAAAAUAAACAUAAAUAUGAAUAAAAAAACUCUUUUAGAAAUAUAAAGACUGCAUAUGAGUUGACUUAAAAACAAGAAUCAAAUAUUGUGACAAAAAAAUUUAAAGGACUAAAAUAUGUUAAAAAGAAUACAGGGACUAAAAAUAAAAUUUAAAAUAUUUAUAGAGAUGAAAAAUUUCUUUUAACUCUUUUAUAAAUAUAUUUUUUACCCGUGCUUGGCACGGGUCCGGAUACUAGU
rnacentral:lncRNA from 1 species